rnacentral:lncRNA from 1 species
GGGCGGAUCACGAGGUCAGUAGUUUGAGACCAGCCUGACCAACAUGGAGAAACCCCAUCUCUACUAAAAAUACAAAAUUAGCCGGGUGUGGUGGCGCAUGCCUGUAAUCCCAGCUACUCAGGAGGCUGAGGCAGGAGAAUUGCUUGAACCCGGGAGGCGGAGGUUGCGGUAAGCCGAGAUCGCGCCAUUGCACUCCAGCCUGGGAAACAAGAGCGAAACUCCAUCUCAAAAAAAGAAAAGAAAAGAAGAGAAAGGACAAUAAGGAGUUAGAAACACUUUCUCCCUUCCCUCCUUCCCGAGGGGCGGGCUCCAUCUUCUUUAUUUUUUAUUUUUAGAGAAGAGGUCUCCCUAUCUUGCCCAGGCUGGUCUCAAACUCCUGGUCUCAAGCGAUCCUCCGGCCUCGGCCUCCCAAAGUGCUGGGUUUAAGACGUGAGCCACCGCGCCCUGCCUCCAUGUUCUUUAAUCUGCUGUCCCUGGCCCAGGGACCUCCGCAGAUAAAGCUCGGUUUCCCCUUUCUGACGCUGUUACCAGUUUGCGGCGGUUAACCCCCCAGAGAGAGCCUGACGCAGAUUUGCUGCAGGAAACCACCGAGUCUCACGGCUUGGCACGAACUCUUCCUUCCGGGCCGGCCAGGAUGCCUGAGCGUGGGGGUGGGCAGGGCACCUCCUACUUCCCCCCGCAGAUAACCACCAACCCGGCCACAUCAUUCUCACAUCUGGGAACUGAGCUCACUCGAGGCUUUUCUCACGUAGCCUCCUUUGAACCUGUUUCCUCAUCUGUAAAAUGGGGCUAAGGAUAGCAUCCACCUAUUUCAGGGUCGUUUUGAGGGAAUCCUGGAGAGAAAACUAGGGUUUUCAGCAAAAGGAUCGGCACAAAGUAGAUGUUCGCCGCUCCCCUCCCUCCUUCCCGCUCCCCCGGGCAGGAAGGCUCGCGUGCGCGAGGCCACAGCGCAAGCGGGUGCAGAGCAGGAUUCGAACAGGGUUCCAUGCAACUCCGUGCCCAGGGUCCUACCACCGCCUGAGCUCAGCGGUCUUCAGCCAGCGGGGCCCUUCCACCCCCUUCCUUAAUAGUUUUCCUCCUCCGCCUCCUGCACGGCCUCCGCCUCCGCCUGACCGUCCUCGGAAACCUCCCAGCCGCAGCCCGG